rnacentral:rRNA from 1 species
ACGGAGGACCCGAGCGUUAUCCGGAUUUAUUGGGUUUAAAGGGUGCGUAGGCGGAUUAGUAAGUUAGAGGUGAAAGCUCGAUGCUCAACAUCGAAAUUGCCUCUGAUACUGUUAGUCUAGAGUAUAGUUGCGGAAGGCGGAAUGUGUGGUGUAGCGGUGAAAUGCUUAGAUAUCACACAGAACACCGAUUGCGAAGGCAGCUUUCCAAGCUAUUACUGACGCUGAUGCACGAAAGCGUGGGGAGCGAACAG